AGUGCAAUUGCUGGGUCAUAGGGUAGUUCUAUUUUUAAUUUUUUGAGGAACCUCCAGACUGUUUUCCAGAGUGGCUGCACCAGUUUGCAUUCCCACCAGCAGU
rnacentral:pre_miRNA from 1 species